UGGCGGCUGCCUACACAUGCAAGUCGAACGAACCCUUCGGGGUUAGUGGCGCACGGGUGCGUAACGCGUGGGAAUCUGCCCUUGGGUUCGGAAUAACAGUUAGAAAUGACUGCUAAUACCGGAUGAAGUCUUCGGACCGAAGAUUUAUCGCCCAGGGAUGAGCCCGCGUAGGAUUAGGUAGUUGGUGGGGUAAAGGCCUACCAAGCCGACGAUCCUUAGCUGGUCUGAGAGGAUGAUCAGCCACACUGGGACUGAGACACGGCCCAGACUCCUACGGGAGGCAGCAGUGGGGAAUAUUGGACAAUGGGGGAAACCCUGAUCCAGCAAUGCCGCGUGAGUGAUGAAGGCCUUCGGGUCGUAAAGCUCUCUUACCAGGGAUGAUAAUGACAGUACCUGGAGAAUAAGCUCCGGCUAACUCCGUGCCAGCAGCCGCGGUAAU
rnacentral:rRNA from 1 species